AUGUCUGAGAGCCAGGAAACUGAUAGGAACAUUGAAAUCUGGAAGAUUAAAAAGCUAAUCAAGGCACUGGAGUCUGCUAGAGGCAAUGGCACAAGCAUGAUCUCCCUUAUUAUGCCUCCACGUGAUCAGGUUUCUCGAGUGGCGAAGAUGUUAGGCGACGAGUAUGGUACUGCUUCAAACAUCAAGAGUAGAGUCAAUCGUCAAUCAGUUUUGGGUGCCAUCACCUCAGCUCAACAGAGGCUGAAGCUUUACAACAGAGUUCCUCCCAAUGGUUUGGUUCUCUACACUGGAACCAUUGUUACUGAUGAUGGAAAGGAAAAGAAAGUUACUAUUGAUUUUGAGCCAUUCAAGCCUAUAAAUGUCUCACUUUACCUUUGUGAUAACAAGUUCCACACUGAGGCUUUAAAUGAGUUGUUGGAAUCUGAUGACAAGUUUGGCUUCAUUGUUAUGGAUGGUAAUGGUACACUUUUUGGCACACUAAGUGGAAAUACACGUGAGGUGCUUCACAAAUUUACUGUUGAUCUCCCAAAGAAGCAUGGUAGAGGAGGGCAUUCGGCUCUACGUUUUGCUCGUCUUCGGAUGGAAAAACGUCAUAACUAUGUCCGAAAAACUGCUGAGCUUGCUACUCAGUUUUUUUAUCAAUCCAGCUACAAGUCAGCCUAA
rnacentral:rRNA from 1 species